rnacentral:rRNA from 1 species
GAGACAGCAGUCGCCGCGGGAAUACGUAGGUGGCGAGCGUUGUCCGGAAUUAUUGGGCGUAAAGGGAGCGCAGGCGGACAUAUAAGUCCACCUUAAAAGUGCGGGGCUCAACCCCGUGAGGGGAUGGAAACUGUAUGCCUUGAGUGCAGGAGAGGAAAGCGGAAUUCCCAGUGUAGCGGUGAAAUGCGUAGAUAUUGGGAGGAACACCAGUGGCGAAGGCGGCUUUCUGGACUGUAACUGACGCUGAGGCUCGAAAGCCAGGGGAGCGAACGGGAUUAGAUACCCCUGUAGUCCCUGUCUCUUAUACA